CUCUCAAGGGCGCCUCUUAGAAAGUGCUUCUUGUCCUCCCGCGGCGCAGGUCAGCACGUCCCAGCCUUCUCAGACUCUGCUCCGCCCAUCUCCAGGCCCCGCCCCCUCCCACCCGCAGCCCCCCUCCCUCCCCGGCUCUUCCCUCUUUUGUUGCCCGGGCUUGUUUCUAACUUGAGAAGGUCUCCGGGCCUCGCCGCCAGGUCACGUGCGUUGGUGACAGCCUCUCCCCAGGCGGCCUCGCAGAUCGCUCCCUCCUCAUUGGCCUCCAGGCCCGGCGGGCGGUGCCGGGGGCGGUGCGGCCCAUCAGCUGUUCCGUGCUCUCUACAACAACAAAAGGACCGGAGGCGGCGGCUCGGCAGCUACGGGCACCGCGGGAGCGGCGGCGCUGGGAGGGAGGACGAAGACGAGGAGCAGGACGCCGCUCGCUCCCCCCGCCGGGCCCUCUUCAGCUACCUCAGCCGCCCGGGGCGCUCCGAGCCGUGCCCCCUUAGCUCUUCAGCCCUCUGCCGCCGUUUCCGAGGCCAGCGUGAGUGUCCGGGCGCGAGAGGAGAGUGGGUGCUGAGGGCGCCCCGCCGGCCCAGACCCGGCCGGCCGCUGGCGGGAGGAGGCUGCCCGCCCCGCCGCCCGGCUCCGGCUCCCCCAGCCUUUUUUCGGCCGCGCCCGCAUCACUGUUUGUGGACAUUAUGGUCUUUUCACUUCCUCUUCCCGGGCCGCUGGGGUCAAGCCCAGCCAGCUCCAGCCUCAGAGGACCUUUCAGCUGCGGCUGCCCCCAGAGCGCGGCUCUGGGGGUCGAGCGGCGGCCGGAGCGAGGCACGGGGCGGUAGCGCGGGCGGGGGGCUGCCCCGUGCCCCUCUGGACUCUAGUGCGCGUCGGGUGUCCGGUUACUGCCUCCUCCCCCUCCGGUGGCCUGUUUUCUCUGCCGUGGGGGGGCAGGACCUUCUUUUUCUCCGCCUCCUCCUUGGGCUCUCCUCUUCUCCUGCACCUCCUCCUCCGGGGCUGGCUGUUGGGGCAGCUCACCCAAGCCCCUCGAUCUCCCUCUCUCUCCCUCCCCUCUGCUCUCCUUCCCCUCCGCCUCCCGGCUUCCUUCAAGUCCCAGCUACGAUCCGCCUUCUGCAGGAAGUUGCCCCCAACCCCGCCUGA
rnacentral:lncRNA from 1 species